rnacentral:rRNA from 1 species
GAUGACGGCCUUCGGGUUGUAAACCGCUUUCAGUACCGACGAANCGAAGUGACGGUAGGUGCAGAAGAGGACCGGCCAACUACGUGCCAGCAGCCGCGGUGAUACGUAGGGUCCGAGCGUUGUCCGGAAUUAUUGGGCGUAAAGGGCUUGUAGGCGGUCUGCUGCGUCGGGAGUGAAAACUCAGGGCUUAACCCUGAGCCUGCUUCCGAUACGGGCAGACUAGAGGGAUGCAGGGGAGAAUGGAAUUCCUGGUGGAGCGGUGGAAUGCGCAGAUAUCAGGAGGAACACCAGUGGCGAAGGCGGUUCUCUGGGCAUUUCCUGACGCUGAGAAGCGAAAGCGUGGGGAGCAAACAGGAUUAGAUACCCUGGUAGUCC